CUUGGCCUAUGUGACCACAUGUUCUGGAGCAGCUCACGAACUCUGGCCUUUGCACUGGUGGGUGUCGUCGACGUCUGCCAGGGCA
rnacentral:SRP_RNA from 1 species